rnacentral:rRNA from 1 species
UACGUAGGGGACUAGCGUUGUUCGGAAUCACUGGGCGUAAAGCGCACGUAGGCGGAUAUGUCAGUCAGGGGUGAAAUCCCGGGGCUCAACCUCGGAACUGCCUUUGAUACAGCAUGUCUUGAGUCCGAUAGAGGUGGGUGGAAUUCCUAGUGUAGAGGUGAAAUUCGUAGAUAUUAGGAAGAACACCGGUGGCGAAGGCGGCCCACUGGAUCGGUACUGACGCUGAGGUGCGAAAGCGUGGGGAGCAAACAGG